rnacentral:rRNA from 2 species
ACCUAGUGAAGUGAAACAUCUCAGUAGCUAGAGGAAGAGAAAUCAAACGAGAUUCCGUUAGUAGCGGCGAGCGAAAGCGGAUUAGGACAAACCCUGUACUUGUAUAGGGGGUUGUAGGACCAUAAUAUAAGAUUAAAGAGAAUAGAAGAAUUAGUUGGAAAACUAAAGCAUAGAAGGUGAUACUCCUGUAUUUUAAAUUCUUGAUAACUUUAAUGGAAUCCUGAGUAGGUCGGAACACGUGAUAUUUUGACUGAAGCAGGGGGGACCACCCUCCAAUCCUAAAUACUACUUACAGAUCGAUAGUGAACAAGUACCGUGAGGGAAAGGUGAAAAGAACUGCAGUGAGCAGAGUGAAAUAGAACCUGAAACCAUUAGCUUACAAUCAUUCAGAGCACGAUUCUAUAUGACGUGUGAUGGACUGCCUUUUGCAUAAUGAGCCUGCGAGUUGUGGUAUCUGGCGAGGUUAAGCCAAGUGUGAAGCCGUAGCGAAAGCGAGUCUUAAUAGGGCGCUUUAGUCAGAUGCUGCAGACCCGAAACGAAGUGAUCUAUCCAUGAGCAGGUUGAAGCUGGUGUAAGAGCCAGUGGAGGACCGAACCGGCAAGCGUUGAAAAGCUUUCGGAUGACUUGUGGAUAGGGGUGAAAGGCCAAUCAAACUUCGUGAUAGCUGGUUCUCUCCGAAAUAUAUUUAGGUAUAGCCUUGUGUUGUAAUAUAUAGGGGUAAAGCACUGAAUGGGCUAGGGCUGUAACCAACGGUACCAAACCCUAUCAAACUAAGAAUACUAUAUGUGUAAUCACAGGAGUCAGGCGGUGGGUGAUAAAAUCAAUCGUCGAGAGGGGAACAACCCAGACUAACAGCUAAGGUCCCAAAGUUACAUC